rnacentral:rRNA from 1 species
AGGAUUAACGCUGGCGGCGUGCCUAACACAUGCAAGUCGAACGAGGUAGCAAUACCUAGUGGCAGACGGGUGAGUAACGCGUGGUCAACCUACCGUUGAGUGGGGGAUAACUAGCCGAAAGGUUAGCUAAUACCGCAUACGUCUCCGAGGGGCAUCCCUUGGCGAUAAAAGGAGCAAUCCGCUCGAUGACGGGACCGCGUCCCAUUAGCUAGAUGGUGGGGUAACGGCCUACCAUGGCACCGAUGGGUAGCUGGUUUGAGAGAGCGACCAGCCACACUGGGACUGAGAAACGGCCCAGACUCCUACGGGAGGCAGCAGUGAGGAAUUUUCCGCAAUGGGCGCAAGCCUGACGGAGCGACGCCGCGUGUGGGAAGAAGGCCUUCGGGUCGUAAACCACUGUCGAAGGGGACGAUAAUGACGGUACCCUUGGAGGGAGCCCCGGCUAACUACGCGCCAGCAGCCGC